UACCAAUUCCCACUACCAUUGAGAAGAAGGAUAUGGUCUAAGUUAGGUUGUUUCCAUGUUUGAGGGAUGAAUGUGAUGUGUUUCUUCAAGUCUUUGUAACAAAAUAAAACAAGUUUUUUCUUUCAAUUUAAGUUUGUCCAUGAAAUGUUAGCUUCAAGUGCAAUGUAUCAAAUUUUCUCGUCUAUCUCUCUAACAAGUCGAUCAUAGUUUUCUCUAUCUAAAUUUUCUUUUUCAUUUACUUCAACGAAAGGGUAGUUUUGGAUCAAUGUUUGACAUAAAAUCACUCAUCUUAAUUGUUUUAUCUCUAUUUCAAUUUAAUAAGUGAUUUUCACAUAGAUCUAGUUUUUUUGUUGUGAUUUCGUCACUCUGCAGUGUUCUGUUGUUCGUCGUCUUGUGUAGCAUUAUUUGAUUUUUUGUCUUGUUGCGAUGUUCAUUUGGUUCCUAUUGAAAGAUUGUCUUUUCAAUCAAUGAUUUGGGUGUCAACGUUGUCCGGAGAUAUGAGUAUUCC
rnacentral:lncRNA from 1 species